rnacentral:misc_RNA from 1 species
CUCAAUCAUUCUCUUCUCUUCUUGUGAGUCACAGCCUUUGACUCAUCCAUUUGAAAUUUCAGCUCAUAUAUCUAAACUAGGCUUCUAAACUUAUACGCACAUACCCAUUUGACAUCAUGAGAAGCAGAAUCCAUCAUGUUUCACUCACGACGUUUUUUUGUCUCGAAUAGCUUUGAUUCCUCCAUCCCUUCUCAAUAACGGGCAUCAAACUACCUCAGCAGAGCUUCUUAUUACGCACCAGCAGCUCCUUCCUUUAACAAUCGGAACC